rnacentral:rRNA from 1 species
UACGUAGGGGGCAAGCGUUAUCCGGAUUUAUUGGGUGUAAAGGGUGCGUAGACGGGAAAUUAAGUUAGUUGUGAAAUCCCUCGGCUUAACUGAGGAACUGCAACUAAAACUGAUUUUCUUGAGUACUGGAGAGGAAAGUGGAAUUCCUAGUGUAGCGGUGAAAUGCUUAGAUAUCACGCAGAACCCCGAUUGCGAAGGCAGCCUUCCGGCGCCCUACUGACGCUGAGGCACGAAAGUGCGGGGAUCGAACAGG